GGCGGCAGGCCCCAAACAUGCAAGUCUAGGGGGUGUAGCAAUACAUCACCGGCGGACGGGUGCGUAACACGUGGGAAUAUACCUUUUGGUUCGGAACAACGCAGGGAAACUUGCGCUAAUACCGAAUGUGCCCUUACGGGGAAAGAUUUAUCGCCAAAGGAUUAGCCCGCGUAGGAUUAGCUAGUUGGUGAGGUAAUGGCUCACCAAGGCUCCGAUCCUUAGCUGUUCUGAGAGGAAGAUCAGCCACACUGGGACUGAGACACGGCCCAGACUCCUACGGGAGGCAGCAGUUGGGAAUCUUGGACAAUGGGGGAAACCCUGAUCCAGCCAUGCCGCGUGAGUGAUGAAGGCCUUCGGGUUGUAAAACUCUUUCGACGGGGACGAUAAUGACGGUACCCGUAGAAGAAGCUCCGGCUAACUUCGUGCCAGCAGCCGCGGUAAUACGAAGGGGGCUAGCGUUGUUCGGAAUUACUGGGCGUAAAGCGCGCGCAGGCGGUCUUCCAAGUCAGUGGUGAAAGCCCGGAGCUCAACUCCGGAACUGCCAUUGAAACUGUA
rnacentral:rRNA from 1 species